rnacentral:rRNA from 1 species
GUGGGGAAUAUUGGACAAUGGGCGAAAGCCUGAUCCAGCCAUGCCGCGUGUGUGAAGAAGGUCUUCGGAUUGUAAAGCACUUUAAGUUGGGAGGAAGGGCAGUAAGUUAAUACCUUGCUGUUUUGACGUUACCAACAGAAUAAGCACCGGCUAACUUCGUGCCAGCAGCCGCGGUAAUACGAAGGGUGCAAGCGUUAAUCGGAAUUACUGGGCGUAAAGCGCGCGUAGGUGGUUCAGCAAGUUGGAGGUGAAAUCCCCGGGCUCAACCUGGGAACUGCCUCCAAAACUACUGAGCUAGAGUACGGUAGAGGGUAGUGGAAUUUCCUGUGUAGCGGUGAAAUGCGUAGAUAUAGGAAGGAACACCAGUGGCGAAGGCGACUACCUGGACUGAUACUGACACUGAGGUGCGAAAGCGUGGGGAGCAAACAGGAUUAGAAACCCGGGUAGUCC